rnacentral:rRNA from 1 species
UGGGGAAUUUUGGACAAUGGGCGCAAGCCUGAUCCAGCCAUGCCGCGUGCGGGAAGAAGGCCUUCGGGUUGUAAACCGCUUUUGUCAGGGAAGAAAUCUUCUGAGUUAAUACCUCGGGAGGAUGACGGUACCUGAAGAAUAAGCACCGGCUAACUACGUGCCAGCAGCCGCGGUAAUACGUAGGGCGCAAGCGUUAAUCGGAAUUACUGGGCGUAAAGCGUGCGCAGGCGGUUUUGUAAGACAGAGGUGAAAUCCCCGGGCUCAACCUGGGAACUGCCUUUGUGACUGCAAGGCUUGAGUGCGGCAGAGGGGGAUGGAAUUCCGCGUGUAGCAGUGAAAUGCGUAGAUAUGCGGAGGAACACCGAUGGCGAAGGCAAUCCCCUGGGCCUGCACUGACGCUCAUGCACGAAAGCGUGGGGAGCAAACAGGAUUAGAUACCCUGUAGUCCACGCCCUAAACGAUGUCAACUGGUUGUUGGGAAGGUUCCUUCUCAGUAACGUAGCUAACGCGUGAAGUUGACCGCCUGGGGAGUACGGCCGCAAGGUUGAAACUCAAAUGAAUUGACGGGGUCAUAGCUGUUUCCUG